AGGCAAUGUCAUUGUCAAUUGAGGAAAAUCCAUAAGCACCUCAGCCAUUUCAUUUCCUCUUUCUCCACAGCCGACAUAGACCACCGUGUCAGAGUUAGAGUACUUUGAGAGUGCUUGACUAAUAACAGUUUUACCGCAACCAAAAGCUCCAGGUAUCGCACAGGUGCCACCCAGCACAGAGGGGAAAAGGGCGUCAAGGACACGCUGUCCAGUCAAGAGAGGUGUAUCAGCAGCAAGUUUUGAUGCAACAGGCCUUGGGGAACGCACUGGCCAUGACUGAAGCAUGGUGAACUGUUUUUUAACACCUUGAAAUUCCAGCUCGAGAACAGUAUCCUUCAGACUGUAUUGGCCCGCUGGGGCGACGUAAGUAAUUUUUCCCAUCGAACCAGGAGGAAGAGCAACAUGAUGUUUCAACAAAGUAUUCUCAAAGACAGUAGCAUAUAAAUCUCCGCCAGUUAAAAGAUCUCCCUCAGCUAACUUCUUAGGCUCAAAUUCCCACAAUAUAUCUUUGUCAAGGGCAGGGACAGAAACACCACGAGGGAUGUAGACAUCGCCCGAUCUUAUGGCAAUAGUUUUCAGAGGUCUCUGAAUACCAUCAAAAAUGUUACCCAAUAUUCCAGGUCCCAACUCCACCGAAAGAGGCUUUCUAGUUCGGAGGACAGGAUCAUUUACCAUCAGUCCAGCUGUUUCUUCAUAAACCUGA
rnacentral:misc_RNA from 1 species